ACGCUGGCGGCGUGCCUAAUACAUGCAAGUAGAACGCUGAAGGAGGAGCUUGCUUCUCUGGAUGAGUUGCGAACGGGUGAGUAACGCGUAGGUAACCUGCCUGGUAGCGGGGGAUAACUAUUGGAAACGAUAGCUAAUACCGCAUAACAGUAGAUGUUGCAUGACAUUUGCUUAAAAGGUGCAAUUGCAUCACUACCAGAUGGACCUGCGUUGUAUUAGCUAGUUGGUGGGGUAACGGCUCACCAAGGCGACGAUACAUAGCCGACCUGAGAGGGUGAUCGGCCACACUGGGACUGAGACACGGCCCAGACUCCUACGGGAGGCAGCAGUAGGGAAUCUUCGGCAAUGGACGGAAGUCUGACCGAGCAACGCCGCGUGAGUGAAGAAGGUUUUCGGAUCGUAAAGCUCUGUUGUAAGAGAAGAACAGGUGUGAGAGUGGAAAGUUCACACUGUGACGGUAUCUUACCAGAAAGGGACGGCUAACUACGUGCCAGCAGCCGCGGUAAUACGUAGGUCCCGAGCGUUGUCCGGAUUUAUUGGGCGUAAAGCGAGCACAGGCGGUUAGAUAAGUCUGAAGUUAAAGGCUGUGGCUUAACCAUAGUACGCUUUGGAAACUGUUUAACUUGAGUGCAAGAGGGGAGAGUGGAAUUCCAUGUGUAGCGGUGAAAUGCGUAGAUAUAUGGAGGAACACCGGUGGCGAAAGCGGCUCUCUGGCUUGUAACUGACGCUGAGGCUCGAAAGCGUGGGGAGCAAACAGGAUUAGAUACCCCUGGUAGUCCACGCCGUAAACGAUGAGUGCUAGGUGUUAGACCCUUUCCGGGGUUUAGUGCCGCAGCUAACGCAUUAAGCACUCCGCCUGGGGAGUACGACCGCAAGGUUGAAACUCAAAGGAAUUGAC
rnacentral:rRNA from 1 species